CCUCUGGAGAUUCUUAAUCACACCAACAAAAAUCUCUUCUGUCAGUCUACCUGUUCUGAGCAUGUUUAGGAUGAUGGAGAAAAUGAUCUUCUGAGAUCUCUUCUACUGUUAAACUUCUAUGAUUUGAAGACUGAGGAUUGAAUAUUGGUUUAUUAAGCACUGGGUCCUAUUGGUACAGCUCAGUCAUUCCUUGACUUGUUUAAAUUAAGUUUAGGAUAUGGAAAGAUGCUGGAAAGAAUAUGUUAAAAAGGAGGAUAAGAACAAAAGUGAGAAGAGGGGUCUGACCACUGAAAAUCUUUGAUGCCAUACAAAAUGAAUCUCUGUAUUCCAGCUUUCUGAAAAUCUUUAGUAGAAACAGAGAUCCUGGACAUUCUUUUUAGACUUGUUUUAAUUCGUGAAAUGUCUUCAUGCCUAAUAGCAAGCAGAAGAAAACCUUGCUCUCCUCCACUGAGAAGACAAGUUAAGAGCAAAACGACCUAUAAUUUUCACCAGAAACGUAGAAACAAGGACACCCAGAGUUCCAGAUCUUUGCCAGCCCAUCACUGUGAAAAAGCAAAGUCAACCCAUAAUCCUAUUACCAUUUCAUUUUUCGAGACCUGUAAAACUUUUUCCUUGCUAUCAAUAAUCACCAACAUUUCUAAAUGCUCCAUUUACUAGAUUCCUAAACUUUUUCUAAGACUAAAGAGUAAAUAACAGUAACAUUUAUAGAACAGAAGUCAUUUAAGUAGUUUUCACAAACGAAUUGACUAAAAUUUUAGCUAGAUUUCUAAGAAAUAUCGUAAAGACACUGUAGCAGAUUGUGUUAUUUUCUGUAAAUAUUUGCAGCCCAUCUCUUGGGAAAGAUUAUACUCCCCCACUUC